CAGACUGUAUCUUCUGCACUCAUUCAAGUGGUAAAAGGAAAAAAAGGAAAAAAAAAAAAAAGAAAAUAGUCUUCCAGUAGCUCAUUUUUGGCUCAUGUUUUGUGUUUCAAGGUUGCAAGUAUAUCUGUGCAGAGUUUCUGGGAGAAUUGUGAAGGAGUUUGAAAAUUAUACAGGAGGCUAUUAAAAUGAAGGUGUGGUAUUGCCUGCAAAGCAGUGGGAAGAUCAAACAGCCUUUCAGCCAGAUGCUCAACAUUGGUCACUGCCUUGGAGAACGAUGAACCCAUCAGCGCAGCUGAGCGCUGCUGUACAUCACCCAGCACAUGCAGAGGUUCCCCAGGUGGGAAGGCUAACACCACAGCACGUGUCCUGAGCUGCCCUUGCCAGUGUCGCUUGUCACUCCCCAGAGUUUUGGGCUGUUCGGAGGCCAGAAAGUGGCUCUUCUUCCCCAA